UACAGAGGUCUCAAGCGUUGUUCGGAUUCAUUGGGCGUAAAGGGUGCGUAGGUGGCGAAGCAAGUCUAACGUGAAAUCUCGGGGCUUAACCCCGAAAUUGCGUCGGAUACUGCUUUGCUCGAGGAUUGUAGAGGAGAGUGGAAUUCACGGUGUAGCAGUGAAAUGCGUAGAUAUCGUGAGGAAGACCAGUUGCGAAGGCGACUCUCUGGGCAAUUCCUGACGCUGAGGCACGAAGGCCAGGGGAGCAAACGGG
rnacentral:rRNA from 1 species